CUUCGGUAAAGGUUCGUUCUUUCCUUAAAAAUUGAGUCUUGGACUUGAACCCUCUUGCUUCUAGUGAGAAUUCUUGUGGGUUUUACUCAGAAUUUGAUUGUUUGUGAUUAUGGAUCCAACUUACACUAGACUCCCUGAUUUCAUGAACGACAUUGAUUUCAAUCCCAUGUUACCCAAUUCAUCUCAAUUCCCAGAAAUCACAAAUCAAUACUGAUUUAACCAGCUCUCUCCAUAUCUCAACUUUUUCAGCAAUCAGUUUUCAAUUCCACCUGAGCCGGAUUCCGGUAAUCUUGUUCCUCCAAUUAGUACUGUUAGCACAGAGGGAGGUUCAGUUUAGUAGAUUCUCCGUCCUCUGAUGAUAUUGACUUCUCUGAAACUGGACACCAACCUGGACGCCUUCGUCAACGACUUGCUCAACAUUCUCGACGCUGUGGGAGUCAAAAAGUGCGAAUCGAGAGUUAAAGAUGACAUCUUUCCGAAACUUGAAGCUCGCUGGAGGAGGAGGAGGCCAGACUCUUCCUGACCCAGCCCAAUUCGUUUCCGAUGAGUUUUCAUUUUCUGGGGAUGGUGGCGUGAUUAAGCUGCAGCUCGAAUUGAUGAAGAAGAAUUUUUGCUUGGUCAUCAGUUUCCCCAAUUUGGGAGGCGAUGAAGAAAGGAGAAAUGGAUGAAGAAAGUAAGCAAAGAGAAAAAA